GCCAGCUUAGCUCAGUUGGUAGAGCAACUGAUUCGUAAUCAGUAGGUCUGGAGUUCAAGUCUCCAAGCUGGCUCCA
rnacentral:tRNA from 1 species